AUUGAACGCUGGCGGCAUGCCUUACACAUGCAAGUCGAACGGUAACGCGGGGCAACCUGGCGACGAGUGGCGAACGGGUGAGUAAUGCAUCGGAACGUGCCCAGUAGUGGGGGAUAGCUCGGCGAAAGCCGGAUUAAUACCGCAUACGACCUACGGGUGAACGCGGGGGACCGUAAGGCCUCGCGCUAUUGGAGCGGCCGAUGUCAGAUUAGGUUGUUGGUGGGGUAAAGGCCUACCAAGCCGACAAUCUGUAGCUGGUCUGAGAGGACGACCAGCCACCCUGGGACUGAGACACGGCCCAGACUCCUGCGUGAGGCAGCCGUGGGGAAUUUUGCGCAAUGGGCGAAAGCCUGACGCAGCAACGCCGCGUGGGGGAAGAAGGCCUUCGGGUUGUAAACCCCUUUCAGGAGGGACGAAGGUCAGGCGGUUAAUAGCCGUCCUGACUGACGGUACCUCCAGAAGAAGCCCCGGCUAACUACGUGCCAGCCGCCACCGUAACAC
rnacentral:rRNA from 1 species